rnacentral:rRNA from 1 species
UAGGGAAUCUUCCACAAUGGGCGCAAGCCUGAUGGAGCAACACCGCGUGAGUGAAGAAGGGUUUCGGCUCGUAAAGCUCUGUUGUUAAAGAAGAACACGUAUGAGAGUAACUGUUCAUACGUUGACGGUAUUUAACCAGAAAGUCACGGCUAACUACGUACCACG